ACAUGAGCAGUUGGCCCUUAAAUCAUGAGCCCAACUUAAGUGCCCAAGGAAAUGGCACAGCAGGGAGAGGGACAUCACACACACCACCAAAUCCUCUUGUUAGUCUCUGGUUUCCACAUCCUUUUCCAAAUCUUCAGGCCAGCUCAUAGCCUCACUUUUCCAUCUCUUCUCCAUUCCUCCAAAGUAGAGCUUCCUGCUGCUACAGGAAUAGCUGCGAAGUGGGAAAGAUCAAGGGUUGUAAGAGCUGCCCCAGAUAAUCUACAAAGAGCUUUGCUAGAAUUAGGUUGUGCAUCUCUGAACCUGAGCUACUACAUGUGUUGGGUCAGGGACCAUGCUUACCUACCAGCUCAAGAAUUGACAGAGGAGGUAUCUAAGAAAUGCUUGUUGGAUGAAUAAAUAAACAGCUGAGUGGGUGUUUAUAUGAGCCUGAAAACUGCCUGCACCAGCACAAAAGUAAAGCCCUGACACCCUCAGGCCACACCUACUGGAAAAAGAUAUGUCAGCCCCAGAAAAAUGUGGGCAACUUGAGAUGCAGAAAGAUGACGCACAGAGAAGUGGCAGCCUGCUCCAGUUCCCGUAAUUAAAGAUUACAGUCAGGAUUGGAGCCCGAGGUCCUAACACCCAGUGCUCUCUCCACACUACCGUGGUGCCCGACUCAUACUUCUGCCACGACCACCCUCUCCAUUUCUGGCCCUGUUUGAAACCCCUAAUUCUCACUGAAAACAAUAAAUCCUCCAAAAUUAA